GGACCAUGGAAACAGAUCAGCAGGAAGAAGAGAUGGAAGCAACGCCAUGGACCUUCACGUCCUUCAGAGUGUGGGUGGGCUUGGGCUUUGCAGUGAGAGCAAGUAUCACCCAGGAUGGAGAUGGGAGGUAAUGGGUGGCCCCGACAGGUGCCUCCUACUGCUGGCAGCAAGGAGAGAGUGAAGAGGCAGAAUUUCCUUGGUCUAGACUAGAGUCUGGGUCAUGGGCAUGGCAGUGCUUGAGCUUUUGACCAGAAGCAAGUGGACAUGGAUUUGAGCUUCGGGUAAGAAGGGAGACUUC
rnacentral:lncRNA from 1 species